rnacentral:rRNA from 1 species
UAACUACAGCAGUGAGGAAUAUUGGUCAAUGGCCUAGCGGCUGAACCAGCAACUUGGAGGAAUGUAUAGAAAAAGCUGGUAAAAAGUGAUGUAUCUACAAGUAUUAGUGAUUAAUAUGAGAUUAACUAAGUUAAUUAAAAUUCUAUGUAAAUAUCUGAUUAUGACAGUAUUUGCUUAUGUCUUGACCAAAUCACGUGCCAGCAGUCGCGGUAAGACGUGGAAGAUAAGUGUUAUUCAUGUUUAAUAGGUUUAAAGGGUACCUAGACGGCUAAUUAAACACUUUAAUGUAUUAAUUAACUAGAGUUUGAUAUAAGAAGGUUUGAGUACGGUGAGUGUAGAGAUAAAAUUCUAUUAGACCAUUAUGGAACUGGUAAAGGCGAAGGCAACCUUCUAUGUAAAAACUGACGUUAAGGGACGAAGGCUCGUAAAAAAAAACAGGAUUAGAUACCCUGGUAUUCUGGGCAGACAAUGAUGAGUGUCAUAUGCAAGAAAAAAAUUUUGUGUAUAAACGAAAGUGUAAGCACUCCACCUCAAGAGUAACAUGGCAACAUGGGAACUGAAAUCAUUAGACCGUUUCUGAAACUCGUAGUGAAGUAUGUUGUUUAAUUUGAUAAUCCACAAAUAACCUUACCACAACUUGAAUUACUUUAGUUAGCUGAAGUAACAAGCGUUGCACGGCUGUCUCCAGUCAAUGUUGUGAAACCGUGGUUUGAUCCAUUUAAAUGACGUAAACCCUCACUCCACUUACUGUGGAGUGGUUCGCCGCUAUAUUGGUAGUGAUAUAUGGGACUAAGAAUAGUCAUCAUGACCUGAACGUUGUGGGCUAUAGACGUGCCACAUAUGCCUUAACAAAAAGAUGCAACUGUGCAAUUUAAGCAUACCUAUAAAAAAACGAACUAAAUAUGGAAUUGCAGUCUGGGUAACUCCGCAAA